UACGUAGGGUGCGAGCGUUGUCCGGAAUUAUUGGGCGUAAAGAGCUCGUAGGCGGUGUGUCGCGUCGGCCGUGAAAACCUGGGGCUUAACUCUGGGCGUGCGGUCGAUACGGGCAGGCUAGAGUUCGGUAGGGGAGACUGGAAUUCCUGGUGUAGCGGUGAAAUGCGCAGAUAUCAGGAGGAACACCGGUGGCGAAGGCGGGUCUCUGGGCCGAUACUGACGCUGAGGAGCGAAAGCGUGGGGAGCGAACAGG
rnacentral:rRNA from 1 species